rnacentral:rRNA from 1 species
UAAGUUUUGUAGCAAUACGAAACCAAGAGUGACGUACGGGUGCGUAACACGUAUGCAACCUACCCAUAACAGGAGGAUAGCUCCCCGAAAGGGGAAUUAACCCUUCAUAGUAUAGUUGAGUGGCAUCAUUUGACUAUUAAAACUCCGGUGGUUAUGGAUGGGCAUGCGUCUGAUUAGCUAGUUGGCGGUGUAAUGGACCACCAAGGCAAUGAUCAGUAGGGGAACUGAGAGGUUGAUCCCCCACACUGGCACUGAGAUACGGGCCAGACUCCUACGGGAGGCAGCAGUAGGGAAUAUUGGUCAAUGGAUGCAAGUCUGAACCAGCCAUGCCGCGUGCAGGAAGAAGGCCCUAUGGGUUGUAAACUGCUUUUGCCAGGGGAUAAAAUUUCCUUGCGAGGAAAAUUGAAGGUACCUGGUGAAUAAGCCACGGCUAACUACGUGCCAGCAGCCGCGGUAAUACGUAGGUGGCAAGCGUUGUCCGGAUUUAUUGGGUUUAAAGGGUGCGUAGGCGGUCCUAUAAGUCAGUGCUGAAAUAUCCCGGCUUAACCGGGAGGGUGGCCUUGAUACUGUGGGACUUGAGUAAAGUUGAGGUUGGCGGAAUUGACGGUGUAGCGGUGAAAUGCUUAGAUAUCGUCAAGAACACCUAUUGCGAAGGCAGCUAACUAAGCUUUAACUGACGCUGAGGCACGAAAGUGUGGGGAUCAAACAGGAUUAGAUACCCUGGUAGUCCACACUGUAAACGUUGAUGACUCGCUGUUGGCGAUACACUGCCAGCGGCUUAGCGAAAGCGAUAAGUCAUCCACCUGGGGAGUACGCCGGCAACGGUGAAACUC